UGGGGAAUAUUGGUCAAUGGACGGAAGUCUGAACCAGCCAAGUCGCGUGAAGGAUGACUGCCCUAUGGGUUGUAAACUUCUUUUGUAUUGGGAGAAUAAGCCUUACGUGUAAGGUGAUGACUGUACAAUACGAAUAAGCUCCGGCUAACUACGUGCCAGCAGCCGCGGUAAUACGUAGGGAGCAAGCGUUAUCCGGAAUUAUUGGGUGUAAAGGGUGCGUAGACGGGAUAAUAAGUUAGUUGUGAAAUCCCUCGGCUCAACUGAGGAACUGCAACUAAAACUGUUAUUCUUGAGUGUUGGAGAGGAAAGUGGAAUUCCUAGUGUAGCGGUGAAAUGCGUAGAUAUUAGGAGGAACACCAGUGGCGAAGGCGGCUUUCUGGACGAUAACUGACGCUGAGGCGCGAAAGCGUGGGGAGCAAACA
rnacentral:rRNA from 1 species